rnacentral:rRNA from 1 species
CCUACGGGUGGCAGCAGUGAGGAAUAUUGGUCAAUGGGCGGGAGCCUGAACCAGCCAAGCCGCGUGAGGGAAGAAGGUACAGCGUAUCGUAAACCUCUUUUGUCAGGGAACAAAGGCGGGGACUAGUCCCCGGAUGAGGGUACCUGAAGAAAAAGCAUCGGCUAACUCCGUGCCAGCAGCCGCGGUAAUACGGAGGAUGCGAGCGUUAUCCGGAUUUAUUGGGUUUAAAGGGUGCGCAGGCGGCCUGUUAAGUCAGCGGUAAAAGCCCGGGGCUCAACCCCGGCGAGCCGUUGAAACUGGUUUUCUUGAGUGAAGUAGAGGUUGGCGGAAUUCCGAGUGUAGCGGUGAAAUGCGUAGAUAUUCGGAGGAACACCGGUGGCGAAGGCGGCCAACUGGGCUUUAACUGACGCUGAGGCUCGAAAGUGUGGGGAGCAAACAGGAUUAGAUACCCUUGUAGUC